rnacentral:lncRNA from 1 species
GAACAAUUUCCGCAGUAACAUUGGUGAUGACGUGCUGCUGACCCAAGUCCACCUCCCAAAAAGGGAAGAGGUCACCGUCAGCAGUGUGGACACAGGCAGGACUGUCGGAGUUUGUGUUAAUAGGCUUGAAAGUGCUUCCAGUGUUCCCGUUCACCGCCAGACAAGGCGGACCUGACACCUGAUUAUAUCCACCAUUGCUGUAGAGGGAACUGAUGUUGGUCGGCUUGCCCAGUGCCACGUUUACUGCAAAGGGAGAAGCAUCCGGAGAAAGACACGCGUUGCAUCCACCGUAUGUUUGACAGGAGCAGACGUCACCUGCUACAUUUACCAUGCGUAUACUAUUGCAGUGUCUUUAAGCCUGGCUCUGAACUUUAUGAUGUACUGUUCAAGGGGUGAGCGUUUUAGGGAAGAAAUUUUCUAAAGAAUAUAUGCCACUAAAGGUCAAAGUUUACUUCGUAAGAAAUUAAGAAAAGACAGUAAUCACUUAGACACGUUGCUACAAGAUGCCAAUACCGAAUCGAGAUAUACUUAAGGUCAACAUUCUUUGCUUAAAUGCAGUUGGCAGACAAAAUUUGUUACAAAGUUUCUGUCAUGGUAUGAUCUUUCAGUCAAAAUAUAAUACUGCCGGUACUAUUUUUAAAUUAACCCAUUGGCUAGUUUCUUGAACUACCAUUUACAUAGCAUCUUGAGGUGCCAUGGAUAUUACAUCUUUGCAUAAAACCUAAUGUGUUUUAUUACUGUUUGAUUUACAUGAGAUAUAAGCUAUGCACAAUGUUGCUGGCUAACAAUUUAUUAGAGGAAGAAAGGAAUUGAGAGAAGACGGAUCAAGGAGGAAGUGAAGUAAGGGGAGGAGAGACCAAGAAAUAGGAAGUGGGAGAAAGACAAAAAUAAGGCGGAGAGAAGGAAAGGCAGAUAAAGAUAAUUAGAGAGAGGUGAGAGAGAGACUGGGAUAAAAAGAAGAAAAGAAGAAAAAAUUUUAUACCAUGUUCCUCGGGACUUGUUAACUUAGUUUCUUAUAGCUAACGCAAGUACAGGUUACCAGAGGGGAUAUAGAGGGGCUGCACUCAUGGUAGCAAGGGAAACACGUCAGUUAGAGUUAUCUCUCGUAACGUGAUGCUAAGAAACGACAUGACACAAGCAAGCGAAAGUGAUCGUCUGAGGCAAGGUGGACAAUUUUGUUCUGGAACUAACUCUCAGAACGCCAGGUUUAAAUUAAGCUCGAAAGGAAAGUAGCUCCACACCUUCCCAAAGGACGAAGAGAGGUGCAAAAUAUGGAUGAAUUUUACACGAAGAAAAGAUUUUGACCAUCUUACACCAUCUGAUGUGUAUGGAAAAGGCUACUGUCUUUGUUCUGAUCAUUUCGAGGAAAGUCAGUACAACUGUCCAGCCCAAAAAUCAGAAGUCUUGUCUGGAAAGCUGUACCCACAGUUUUCUCCAUUCCAAAUCCACAAUGCAAGGUAACUUCUUCAAGAAAGCGACCGAUGGGCAGAAUGUCCGAAUUUACCUCUGCAAAGCAGCCCAGGAUUUCCCAGAAAGCUAUAGUCUUGCAUGAAGAACAAGCAGAUAUUGCAGUUGAGCCUGCAUACUCUAGAACUGUGCCAGAUUCUCCUACAAAAAGCUGAAAUACAUUUAAAUCUCAGUUGAUUCAACUUCUGUGGGAAAAGCUAAUAAGCAUUGACCUCUGUUGUCCACUUGGUGCAUGUGAUCUGAAAGGAAGUGGGAUUAAUCUAUUUAUCAAUGUUCGCCUUAAUUUUUCUCUUAAAGAUAGCUCUGUGUCCUUCUUUGAGAAAGGAACAAAAAGAAAUUGAAAAAUGUUGAAGUUACAUCAUUUGUAGCUUUUAAUCGAAAGUAACUUAAAAUUGUUUUAGAACAGUGUGAAAGAAAAUGUCAUAAAUCUUGAUUUAAAGUACAGGUGUGAAUGAUCCCUUUUGAGUAUCUGAUUGCUGUAUAUUUCAUAGUAAGCAUCGCUGUUACCUUUAAAUUGUUCACCAAUGUUUUUAACAAUAAGGGAUAUGAAUGUAUAUAUAUACAUUAUUAUCAAUAGUAGUAUUAUGAUUUGUUAUUUAUUAGGAGUAUUAGUAGUAUUAUGAUUUAUGUGAGAAAUUAUUGCAGCAUUCUUGUAUGUAAACAGAAAUCUAUAUCUCAGUAUGGGAGAAAGUCUUCUGAAUGUGAGCAUGUUUGUGUCAUGUUUAUAUUCGUGUGUAGGUCUGUUUUUAACUUCUUUUCUCAUAGUCAUAAAGUCUUGUAAAUUAUACUUUUAUGGAUUUUAAAUAAUGCAAAUUUAUGCUCAUGGAUGUGGUGUUUGAACUUAUCCUUUUUAAAUAUAGUCAGCUGUCAUACAUGUAUUCAAACUCUCCUAAACUACCCUCAUCUAUGCAAUUCCCAUAAAUAAAAGAUACAAAAAUCUGUUCUUAGAUAAAAGUCAUUUCAUAUUGCAAACACCUAGACAUUUACUUCAAAGAUAAACACUGCUAACGACUUUGUUUAGUAGUGGUUGAUAGCAACUGUGGCAUAGCAACAUGUUUCGAAGGGACGCAACUGCGUCACUACUUUUCUUAACAAGUAAGGACAGAGGAGUGCAGCCUCUCUAUAUCUAGCCUCUCUGGUUAAACGCAUAGUUGCAAGAUUCUUUCCUUUUUCAUUUAUGUUGGUUAUUUGUGUCUCUUUCAAAGUCCUUUCUUCUCUACUAUCUUUCCUUGCCCAGAACAGUCCUCUAUGGAGUCAUUUUGACAGCUAGGUUGAUCUGAGUUGUGGAUUUUUUUUUUUCAUUUUCCUGGCUGUAAAAA